CGAUUUAUGCGCCCGGAAGCCCUUUCAGCCUCACAGGCAUGUCCCCACCUGCCUCACAGCCGCCGACGCAUCUCACGGCGGGGGUCUAAUUGCGUGUGCAUAUGGAUGCUCCUAUUCCCCGCCGCCUUUCUAGCAACUAGUAAUGUUAUGAUGCAUCGUUGGUCCGGCGUACGACGGCGCCUGGUGCGAUUUAUGCGCCCGGAAGCCCUUUCAGCCUCACAGGCAUGUCCCCACCUGCCUCACAGCCGCCGACGCAUCUCACGGCGGGGGUCUAAUUGCGUGCGCGUAUGGAUGCUCCUAUUCCUGCCGCCUUUCUAGCAGCUAGUUACUGUUAUGAUGCAUCGUUGGUCCGGCGUACGACGGCGCCUGGUGCGAUUUAUGCGUCCGGAAGCCCUUUCAGCCUCACAGGCAUGACCCCACCUGCCUCACAGCCGCCGACGCAUCUCACGGCGGGGGUCUAAUUGCGUGCGCGUAUGGAUGCUCCUAUUCCUGCCGCCUUUCUAGCAGCUAGUUACUGUUAUGAUGCAUCGUUGGUCCGGCGUACGACGGCGCCUGGUGCGAUUUAUGCGUCCGGAAGCCCUUUCAGCCUCACAGGCAUGACCCCACCUGCCUCACAGCCGCCGACGCAUCUCACGGCGGGGGUCUAAUUGCGUGCGCGUUCGCAUGCGGCAUGUCCCGCCACCUUUCUGGCAUCUAGUUGAUGGUAUGAUGAAUCGUUGUGCGGUGUAGGGCUGCGCCUGAUGCGAUUUCGUUUGCGGAAGCCCCCCCUGAGUGCUGCCAAGCAUGUUAUUCUCUCAUGAGACUGCGUGAAGGUUUACGAACUGAGUAUGCGACCAACACAUAAAACAUCGCAUGCGAAUUGUUAUGUCAUGCGAUUCAUCAAAGGUAAAUCGUGUGUGCUUGUUGUGUGUUAGCUUAGGCCGCAUUAAGCUUGACGCAACGAGCCUUCAUACGCUUGAAACGCAACAUUUGUUUGCAUGCGAAUUGCGUUGCGAUAUGUGUGCGUUUGGUAAGUGUUAGGCUGCGUUAAGCUUUACGCAAUGAGCCUUUAUACGCAUGAAACGCAGCAUGUAUUAGCAUGCGAAAUGCGUUGCGAAAUGUGUGCGUAAGGUGAGUGUUAGGCCGCGUUAAGCUUUACGCAAUCAGCCUUCAUACGCAUGAUACGCAACAUGCAUUCGCAUGCAAAUAGCCUUGCGGACUGUGUGCGUUUGAUGUGCGAGUGGACGCGAAUUGCUUUACGCAUUGUCUCCCCACACGCACGAAUCGCAAUAUGGAAUCGCAUGCGUAUCGCCUUGCUACACAUGCGCGUAUGCUUCGCGUUUCAACAUACGCACGGAUAAAUUGUUCAAGUCGAUCAAACGACGCAAGUUUAUUUGCAAAUAAACCUUUACAAUCUGAAAAUUAUAAAAUUUUAAAAAACUUGGCCAGAAGGGCCGAUUUCCGCUUUUCCAUAGCCGUUGUGCGUUAGCUCUUUGCGUUACAAAAGCAUGCUCAUUCGCACCUAACGCUAAGAUUCGCACCGUUACGCGAACUAACGCGAGCUAACGCGGACUUAACGCGAUCACCCGUCGUCAUAGUGGUUGCGCCUGCGAUCGGCCAUAGCCGCAGACGCGGACGCCGCAAAUGCUAUCUGUUUACACCCUACAGGCGUGGUUCACGUACGUAUUCGCGUAUAUAGAAUAUCAUAAUAGAAAUUAUGCGUGUUCCUUGCGACUUGCGAGUUGCAAGUUGCGACUUGCAAGUUGCGACUUGCGACUUAAGCAGUACGCAAGAGUGCACUUCGCCUCGCACCCGCAAUUUGUUUUGCAAGCCGCCAUAAGAUUGUGGAGUGGCAAAUGCUUUCAGGCCGGUCUAUUAUACCAUGGCACGCGUCUAUUGUGCCAUCUAUAUACCAAUCGAUACAUGUAUUAUUGUACAAUAAUUCUACCAAAAAUCCAUUCCUCGGUCCUUUUUGAUAUAUGAUUACCCUAUAUAUAUGUAGACCAUGAAACAUUUACCGAUGCGUUUAGGUGAUACAGAUUACAGGUGCUAACCCAAGCAUUUCAUGUGCACACGCACCUGGAAUUUUUGUAUAAAAACAAAUUGAAGUAACAGUUCUUAAUGGGGCCACAGAGGACUUCAUCCAGCCGUUGGCAUUGAAGCCUAGACAUGCUGGCAACUUUGCACAGUCGGUAGCAGCUGCUGCAGCGGAACCAGAGUUGCUCAGGUCGUCCUUAUCGUGGUCGGUGUCCGGAAGUGCAAUGUAGCCAUAAAAACUUGGACAUGCUGUGGAAUCAGGAAAGGGAAGUGCCAAACAUUGUGUAUGACUCAUUAAGCUACCAAAAGGCAUUGAUGCUGGGAGUUUCUGCAAGGUGCAAUAAGUUGUACUUAUGCAUGAACUACUUACCUUGCAAUGUACACAUCCACACUUGCUAUUUAAAUUUAUUUACUAUUCUGGCCCUGUUCACUGCUGUAGCGGGAACAGGAACAGGAAAGGGCCUGCACAAGCUACGUCAUAUGCAUGUCACACUGCGGCACUACUGGAAACAUAUUUAUUCUNNNNNNNNNNNNNNNNNNNNNNNNNNNNNNNNNNNNNNNNNNNNNNNNNNNNNNNNNNNNNNNNNNNNNNNNNNNNNNNNNNNNNNNNNNNNNNNNNNNNNNNNNNNNNNNNNNNNNNNNNNNNNNNNNNNNNNNNNNNNNNNNNNNNNNNNNNNNNNNNNNNNNNNNNNNNNNNNNNNNNNNNNNNNNNNNNNNNNNNNNNNNNNNNNNNNNNNNNNNNNNNNNNNNNNNNNNNNNNNNNNNNNNNNNNNNNNNNNNNNNNNNNNNNGCUACUGGGCUAGACUUGGAGGGUCCGACCGGGGCAACUCGUUGCUGUGGACUUGUAGGCAAGUCAAGUAGGGCUAUGGAAUGCUAGGACAAUGUUAUUAUGUUUGUGUUAUAGGCUUGGGUAGGAAUUCUUAAGCAAUACGUUGAGUGGCUUUUCCGCCGGCGGGAGGACGACAAUCCCACGCAAACAGGACGGAUGUUCCGAAUGUUGCUUACAUUCAUGUUGUCGAAGCUCGCGACGACGGCUCUGGACAGGACGGAUGUCAAGUGUGCGUUGGUGGACGUGAUGGCAACGUAGUGAAGGACACGGACGCGCAUGCACAGGCCAUGGAAUGGUAUGUCUAAAUCAUGGAUGGCGACGUUCAACUCUCAGAAUGGUGAUUUCUGCCUUUGGGUUCAAUUCUGAACCUGGAAUGCUGCUGGCUCUGCCCGUACCGGAAAAGUGCUUUCCGGUACGGCGGUGUCAGGAGGUGGUAUCUACGUCGUCUUAGGGGCAACCCUAAGACUAAGGGGAUGAACGAAUAGAGAUAUACUUAGGGUUUCUUGGCUGCAGCAAGUGUUGUCCUGGGCGCGACGUUGAUGGCCUGAUGCCGACGCGACCUCCUUUACGACAAUGCUAGGCAAACGCAGCGGAUGUUCAUGAAUUACUUAAGCGUUCAUAUUACUCGUCACAGCUUCAACGGCACUGUACUGGGCGGAUGUAAGAUGUGCGUUGGUGGACGCGAUGGCCUUACGAAGGGGGAGAAAGACGCUUAGGAGAUGCUUGGAUUGUUAUGUACAAGUCACAGACGGGGACGUUUAACUCUAUGAAUGCUGAGUUUUAGCUACUAGUCGGGUUUUUUGAACUUCGCUGUUGUUGGUUCCGCCCGUACAGGAAAAGUGUCUUCUGAUACGGCGGUCACAGCAGGUAGUAUCCGCGUCGACUUGUAUGCAAACCAAAUACAACGAAACCAGGGGAUGAUAUGACAGUUUUGGAAUGCUUGUUUCUUGGCCGCAAGCAGCAGCAUACUUAAAUCGCGUUGGGCCAUUUGCCCAGGCUGCCGNNNNNNNNNNNNNNNNNNNNNNNNNNNNNNNNNNNNNNNNNNNNNNNNNNAACCAUUUUGUAAACACAGACCAUUAUGCCAAAUCUUUGCUGUAAUGCCUCUGGCCCAGAUGACAUUGCAUGUGCAACAUGUCAAAUAAACUCUGCUGCCCUUCUGCAGUGCACUUCAAUCCUAUAUUUGUACAUAAUAUUCGUGUAAUAUGAAAGGUGACUUCUUGCCAGCAGGGUAAUGAUCGGAGACCUACUUAUGGCAUCCCAUGGAUUAUGCGGCAUGUAUCCGCAUCAUUUGUUCUGUGUAAUAGAAUUAUUUUAAAAGAAAAAUCUCGAAGAGCUAUCCUGUUGGUAUUUCAUGGCUGGACUUCCAGUGCUCCAUCCGUACCCAGUGCGGGGCCCGCCCGUCGCCUGCGUAGCUUCGCAAAAUUUCGCAAACAUUCCUCGUUCACCGGCAGGCGCCCUAAGUGCUACAAAGGUCGUAACACAUCCAGCUUCAGAAAAAUAGCAUGUAGACGUGUUGUUGGACUGCCACUGAACAAAAUCUUAAACAAACGGACCUUCGUCCAACUCUCGACCAUCAGAAACUGUCAUGUCGCGAAGGCGCUUGUCUCAAUAACCACUUGUUAGCACGUGUCAUUAGCUCACUGUUAAUAAAUCAUUCUCAUUUCGCUUCCUACCACCUUUCAACUAUACCACGUCUGCCACCGCCGCGGCCAUGGAGCCAGCAGUGGAAUUAUUUACCCGCUUAUUUACGGCCGCGCUGGCNGCGAUUACGAAUUGGCGACCNNNNNNNNNNNNNNNNNNNNNNNNNNNNNNNNNNNNNNNNNNNNNNNNNNCAAAUACAACGAAACCAGGGGAUGAUAUGACAGUUUUGGAAUGCUUGUUUCUUGGCCGCAAGCAGCAGCAUACUUAAAUCGCGUUGGGCCAUUUGCCCAGGCUGCCGCAAGGACGACAAGCCAGGCUAAUGCAGCUGGUGUCCAUGAAGGGUUCAUUGCGUGCUGAAUAUGAAAGAUUGCCACAAAGACUCUUGCCCUGACGGAUGUGCAUUGUAAGGAAGGAAACGGAUGAAGAGUUAGCUCCGCGGUGCAUGGAACGCUAAGUAAGGAUGAUGGACUGUAAGCGUUAAUAUUCGGAGCAGGGAUUUCUGUCUUUUCGCUCGGUUCUGAAAGUCUAACGUCGAUUGCGCAUCCCGUUUGUUCGGGAACGUACUUAGAUCUGAUACGGCUCACCCGAUUGGCAAUAAUGCUUUCUAUGCUUGCAUAACCAUUUUGUAAACACAGACCAUUAUGCCAAAUCUUUGCUGUAAUGCCUCUGGCCCAGAUGACAUUGCAUGUGCAACAUGUCAAAUAAACUCUGCUGCCCUUCUGCAGUGCACUUCAAUCCUAUAUUUGUACAUAAUAUUCGUGUAAUAUGAAAGGUGACUUCUUGCCAGCAGGGUAAUGAUCGGAGACCUACUUAUGGCAUCCCAUGGAUUAUGCGGCAUGUAUCCGCAUCAUUUGUUCUGUGUAAUAGAAUUAUUUUAAAAGAAAAAUCUCGAAGAGCUAUCCUGUUGGUAUUUCAUGGCUGGACUUCCAGUGCUCCAUCCGUACCCAGUGCGGGGCCCGCCCGUCGCCUGCGUAGCUUCGCAAAAUUUCGCAAACAUUCCUCGUUCACCGGCAGGCGCCCUAAGUGCUACAAAGGUCGUAACACAUCCAGCUUCAGAAAAAUAGCAUGUAGACGUGUUGUUGGACUGCCACUGAACAAAAUCUUAAACAAACGGACCUUCGUCCAACUCUCGACCAUCAGAAACUGUCAUGUCGCGAAGGCGCUUGUCUCAAUAACCACUUGUUAGCACGUGUCAUUAGCUCACUGUUAAUAAAUCAUUCUCAUUUCGCUUCCUACCACCUUUCAACUAUACCACGUCUGCCACCGCCGCGGCCAUGGAGCCAGCAGUGGAAUUAUUUACCCGCUUAUUUACGGCCGCGCUGGCAGCGAUUACGAAUUGGCGACAGAAUCAGAAUGUGGCGAAGAUGCUCGUCUUCAAGCUUGCCUGCUUCAUUGCCUCCCUUCCUUCACAUCCACGGGUGAAACUCGUCUUCCAAGGGCAUCACGGUCUGGCACCAGUCGAUGCGUCCCCAACAAGCAUAUAUGAUAUGGAAUUCAAAGAUGGCAACGGCAAAGUAAGGACGCUGCUCGUCUUUUUGCUGUCAUGAAGCCCGUGACGGGAGACACCUUCCAGGCCUCCUCAAUCACAGCUUCCUGUGAGGGAAGAUUCAACCCGCGGAUCUCGUUGAGGACGUACAAUCUGCCGCCGUCNNNNNNNNNNNNNNNNNNNNNNNNNNNNNNNNNNNNNNNNNNNNNNNNNNUGUCUCCCGUCACGGGCUUCAUGACAGCAAAAAGACGAUCAGCGUCCUUACUUUGCCGUUGCCAUCUUUGAAUUCCAUAUCAUAUAUGCUUGUUGGGGACGCAUCGACUGGUGCCAGACCGUGAUGCCCUUGAAAGACGAGUUUCACCCGUGGAUGUGAAGGAAGGGAGGCAAUGAAGCAGGCAAGCUUGAAGACGAGCAUCUUCGCCACAUUCUGAUUCUGUCGCCAAUUCGUGAUCGCUGCCAGCGCGGCCGUAAAUAAGCGGGUAAGGUGUAUUCAUUGUCAAACCUUGUGUAAGGGAUGUUGCACUGUCACUGUGUCGUGCCUGAGCAUACUUCGUUUUCCUUGUCCAUACAUGGUGAGCAUUGAUCCCCGUGAUUUGUGAUGCUGCCUGCAGGAUGGGGCGUCACUACCUGGGCCCAGUGGAAUACCUGCAGUACAUCAGGGAGAACAAGCAGGUGUGGACCAUGGUAGGCUAUAGUGGCAUACAGGAGUACAUGUGAUGGAUGUCUUUACAAUUAUCCCUUGAUACACCCAGGAUACUACAGAAUGUCAGUGCAGCAGACUCAUGGUAUGGAAGUCAACAUUUUCAUUCACGGUAUACACGUCGGGAAGCUGGCCCUGUGGGUGGCCAUUGCAUUGCCAGAGGACCAAUACCCCACAAAAGCAUGCAAGGACUAUGCCAGAGGCAGGGUUGUAAAAAGUACCUGACCAUGUAUAUGAUGUAGCACCUCAUGUCCCUUAGUAGCAACUUUUGCCUGUGCUCACCAUAUAUGACACUCUUACUGACCAACAGUGUCAUGUUUGUGACAUGCGUUAGCCCAUAUCAAUGACAGCAAUGCCAUGGACAUGAUUUUGCCUGCUGAUGCGUAUGCAGCAGGCUUUGGAUGGUGGACCUGCAGCUGAGCUGGGCGCCACGAUGGAUGGUGGCCUGGUGAGUAGCAGCUGCAGCGGCAGCGGCAGCGGCAGCGGCAGCAGCAGCAGCAGCGACAGCGGCAGCAGCAGCAGCAGCGGCAGCGGCAACGGCAGCAGCAGCAGCAGCGACAGCGGCAGCAGCAGCAGCAGCGGCAGCGGCAACGGCAGCAGCAGCGGAAGCGGAAGCGGCAGUGGCAACCGCAGCCGCAGCCGCAGCCACAGCCACAGCCGCAGCCGCAGCCGCAGCCACCGGCACAGGCACAGCCGCAGACGCAGCCGCAGCAGCAGCCGCAGCCGCAGCUGCAGCCACAGCCGCAGCCGCAGCCGCAGCCACAGACACAGCUGCAGCCAUGGCAGCAGUGGCAGCAGCAGCAGGCACAGCAGCGGCAGCAGCCGUGACAACAGCAGCAAUAGCAGUGACAGCCGUAGUGGCAUCGGUGGUGGCAGUGGUGGCAGUGCUUCUGAACAGCAGCAAGCAGAGGCAGCUGCAGAUAAGACUCCGUCCAAGCAGGAGGAGCUAGCACAUGCAGAGUUGGGCCAAUGCAGACAAGAGCAACCUGCUGUAGCUGCAGCUGCACCAUCCUCAGAGCAGCAAUGCAGCUCGUGCCCAGCCUCCCACUAUAGCUGUGAUUCAUCCAAGCUAGCCUUUAAGCUUCGCGCCUGGUAUGUGUGUUUGAAGCUAUGUAUGUGCUGCAGAUGUUGCUGUAACCAUCUAAGAUUUUAUAUGCCGCUACACGCCUAACCCACGUUGCACGUAUCAACGUACCUGUGUACCAGAGAGCACAGGUACUCAGGGACAAGAAACAUGCCAUCGGCCGGUCAGGUCUCAGCCUUCCUUGGAUACAGGCCAUGGAAAAGNNNNNNNNNNNNNNNNNNNNNNNNNNNNNNNNNNNNNNNNNNNNNNNNNNNNNNNNNNNNNNNNNNNNNNNNNNNNNNNNNNNNNNNNNNNNNNNNNNNNNNNNNNNNNNNNNNNNNNNNNNNNNNNUGAGGACGUACAAUCUGCCGCCGUGGUGGAGAAGCCUGUUAAUUUUUUCUCGGUCCGAUUUCUUGGUGAGGCCCAACAGGUGCCCCAGCACAGUGACCUGCAGGCAACAUUUCAAAGGGAGUAGCCUAUAUGAGGUGUCUCCCGUCACGGGCUUCAUGACAGCAAAAAGACGAGCAGCGUCCUUACUUUGCCGUUGCCAUCUUUGAAUUCCAUAUCAUAUAUGCUUGUUGGGGACGCAUCGACUGGUGCCAGACCGUGAUGCCCUUGAAAGACGAGUUUCACCCGUGGAUGUGAAGGAAGGGAGGCAAUGAAGCAGGCAAGCUUGAAGACGAGCAUCUUCGCCACAUUCUGAUUCUGUCGCCAAUUCGUGAUCGCUGCCAGCGCGGCCGUAAAUAAGCGGGUAAGGUGUAUUCAUUGUCAAACCUUGUGUAAGGGAUGUUGCACUGUCACUGUGUCGUGCCUGAGCAUACUUCGUUUUCCUUGUCCAUACAUGGUGAGCAUUGAUCCCCGUGAUUUGUGAUGCUGCCUGCAGGAUGGGGCGUCACUACCUGGGCCCAGUGGAAUACCUGCAGUACAUCAGGGAGAACAAGCAGGUGUGGACCAUGGUAGGCUAUAGUGGCAUACAGGAGUACANNNNNNNNNNNNNNNNNNNNNNNNNNNNNNNNNNNNNNNNNNNNNNNNNNGACAACAGCAGCAAUAGCAGUGACAGCCGUAGUGGCAUCGGUGGUGGCAGUGGUGGCAGUGCUUCUGAACAGCAGCAAGCAGAGGCAGCUGCAGAUAAGACUCCGUCCAAGCAGGAGGAGCUAGCACAUGCAGAGUUGGGCCAAUGCAGACAAGAGCAACCUGCUGUAGCUGCAGCUGCACCAUCCUCAGAGCAGCAAUGCAGCUCGUGCCCAGCCUCCCACUAUAGCUGUGAUUCAUCCAAGCUAGCCUUUAAGCUUCGCGCCUGGUAUGUGUGUUUGAAGCUAUGUAUGUGCUGCAGAUGUUGCUGUAACCAUCUAAGAUUUUAUAUGCCGCUACACGCCUAACCCACGUUGCACGUAUCAACGUACCUGUGUACCAGAGAGCACAGGUACUCAGGGACAAGAAACAUGCCAUCGGCCGGUCAGGUCUCAGCCUUCCUUGGAUACAGGCCAUGGAAAAGGUUAAGAAUCUGCAAGGUCGGUGUAUGCAAGCUUGUAUUUUCCCAAAAUGUUGACCCAAUGGCAUCACACUAUAUGCAUGUCUUGCAUUUUUUUGCAAACAGAUGAAGCAGCCUGGGGCAUGGAGGGUGCAAAGUACCUGCAGCAGUGCCUUACAGAGCAGCUGGUGGCUGCCUGGGGCCCCAGGCAGCCCCCAGACACCCCCGGGGGUGUCUGCACAGGAUCUGGAUCAUGCCAAGGUAGGCUCGCUGGUUACAUAGGUUAAUGAUACAGUGCUAGCAGGUUUAGCAGUGAUAAUUUAGCUAGUUGUUGACUAUGCUAUGCAUGUGAACUUCACACUUGUAGGUUGUCAUCAGGCGUAUGGGAUGUCUUUACUACGCCCCACUUCACACCGUCACUUACAUCCGUGGUGGCGGCCUGGCUAAGUCCCUUUUCAAGACCCAGGCAUGCCCAGUGUGCGACAUUUCAAUCCUGACAAGGACACCGCAGGGGCUAUGGUGUGUGGGACGGACGGGUAGGCAAAUGGAGUUUGGUUUCGCAUUCGUUGUGUGUAUGUACUUCAGUUCUCUGGAGUUUGCUCAUAUGGGCAUGGCCCUUGUGUGCAGGUGCAGCUACUGCUCAGCGUACUCUACAAAGACAAGGUAGCAGAUGUGGUGUAUGUUAAGUGGUUUGAUGCUCCAGAAGAUGAAUGGAACCGUGAACUGAAUCUCCGUCCGCUGCGAUGGCAGAGGUAAUAAAAGUAGUUUACACACAGUCGUAAUUUCAGUUGUAUACCUCCCUCUCUUGCACUAACACUAACCAUUGAUUGUCCACACAACCUCACUUCCAGGGUGACUGGAAAACCAGCAGCAGCUUAUGGGUGUAUCCCAUUUGAGACCAUUAUCGAGAGAGUGUGCAUUGUUCGGAUCUCCCAAGUUAAAGUCAAACGUACACGUGGUUCCUCCAGCAGAAGCAUGGAUGAUGUGGAAGAGUCCAUGGGCAAUCCAGUUCCCACAGCACAAUUUGUGCUCAACGAGCUCAAUGGCGGCCCACCCCAUGGCCUUUUGCCAGUCGUGUUGGAGGAUAUUGCUGAAGAAGUCAGGCAGCAGUCUCAAGAGAGUGAAAAGCGAAGCUUGCGCCCAUCAGAAGUGCGGGCACUAUUGGACAAGCUUAUGGCCAUCGAGGAAUGGGAGCAAUGGGAGUCUGGUUGCGUGUGGUCAAAAGAUGAUGACACAGAUGAAGUUUCAUCAGACGAGGCGUAGCAAAGACGUCCUGGAUAAUAACGACCGGGUAGAGGAGGAUUGAUCAAUUGGGGCUCAUGGGAGUAGGAAAUGACUGUUUGCGUUGUGCUGAUAGUGUCGGAGAAUUUAUUCUGUUAAGUGUUUUGGUUGUGUUUUGGAGUUGCAGCAUUAAUAGGCCAGAUAACAUGUGGAUUAUUCAUUUAGUAAAGCAGACUGAGGGAUUGUGGGCUGAGAGCUGAGAUUCCUUGUGUGAUGUGUGAUAGUAACGUAUGAAGAGUAUGUGAAAAUUGUAAUCCCCUGAGCUUCUAUGCAUCCCAUAUAUUUCUGUACACAAAUGACACAUGUAAACAACAUCCUGGCAAGUAUACAGCAUAGCCUAAACAAGGUCAGGUAUAGGCUGUCAUGUAAACAUGAAGGCCUAUUAUGUGAUGCCUAUAGCAGUCUUGUAAUAGGCACUCGUGUACACACGCACCUGUAUAGGCACUGUUGUUUACAACAUCACAUGUAGACACAUCUGUAUACCAGUCAUGUUUACCACAUAGCCUAAACAAGGUCAGGUAUAGGCUGUCAUGUAAAGGCCAUUGCAUAUUACGUGAUGCCUAUAGCGGUCUUGUAAUAGGCACUCAUGUACACACGCAGCUGUAUAGGCACUGUUGUUUACAACAUCACCUGUAGACGCAUGCAUAUACCUGGCAAGUAUACACCACAGCCUAAACAAGGUCAGGUAUAGGCUGUCAUGUAAAGGCCAUUGCAUAUUACGUGAUGCCUAUAGCGGUCUUGUAAUAGGCGCUCAUGUACACACGCACCUGUAUAGGCACUGUUGUUUACAACAUCACGUGUACACAUAUCUGUAUAGCUUGGAAGUAUACCGCAUAGCAUAAAGAAGGUCAGGUAUUCUACAUAUAUACAGGGUCCUCUAUUAGGCAAACAUGUACAUAUGUCCCUCUUUAGGUCUGGGCCUUUAUUUCUCGUAUAAUACGUGUACACCUAACUGGCCUAUAUACCUUUCACCUAUUUUCCCGAAUAUCUCGCCUAUACAAUGCCCGAAAAAAUACAGACGUACGUCUCUGUGCACCUGCGUGCGUGUCACGACUUUUGUUGUCAAGCUGCCUAUGUUUCGUUGUCAAGGACUUGGUCUUCUUUGGGAGUUAUUGAUCACACCUGCGUGCGUUUAUCUUUGCCCGUCUUUCACGCCAGGGAGUAUUGCAGUCGUUUCAAGCCCGGCACAGGCCUUUUUCUUCCGUUUAUUAGGGACUUUUCUACGGUUGUUUUCUGUUUCCUCCCUUUGGAAGGGGGAUCAUCUCUUGCUGGCGUUAAUAGACGAUCCGGCAGGUUAAGCAGCUGCUUUUCUAUCAGAGGCCGCGGCUCAUUUCUUGCCGUUCGAUUACGAGGGUGCAUUUUUGCGCUUAUUUCGUUCUUGUGGCGAGGCGGCUCGCCAACCGGUAGAGAAGGACGUCCAUAGCUAUGACCUAGCGGUUGUCUCGCACCUCCGCUUUCCUCGGUUCAAAAACACGCCAACACACGAUCAGGCUCUCCUCUGUAGCAACCUCUUCUCUCCAGUUUCGUCUUGCUUACACAGUUUGUCUCUCUUCGCCUUGCUCCGCAGUCGCAUAAGUGACAGCACAACCUCAACUACGUCAUGGCCGACGCUGAUGUGGACGCUUUCCUCAGCCUGAUCGCACUGCACUGGCCGACCAGGAUUGGUGGGCCAGGACCACCACUGACUCUUUGUUCACGGAGUCAUGAUGUUGGGCCGGGCUGUGGACCUGUUCCUGCCGGGCUCCAAUGGCAACGCGGCCCCAAAAGGUGCAGCAGCAUGGGCAACCCUGGCGCUCCUCAUUGAUUUCUCCGGCCCCAGCAAAGCACGCAUCCGUGUCCCUGCUGAUCUGGUCACCCGCCACCCGCAGAUCUAGCCGCACGGGCAGGGGCCUUGUUGGGGCACCUGAAGGACUGCAUCACCACAGACCUCCAAGCGCUUGCCGCGCAGUUGGUGCAGGAGGCACCAGAAUCACUGGCGGCAGGACCACCAAGGAGUACGCUGCCACAUGGCGCCAGUUCUUCAGCUGGUGGGAGGCACACAAUUUUCCGGGAGACAUCUACUCCACCCCGGGGGAGCUGGUAGCCCUCUACGUGCUGGCCUUACUAAACAAGUCCAAGGCAAACGGUGUUGGGCCUGGCCGCGUUCGCCUCCCAAACGUGGCCAUAAGCACUUAUUUCCGCAUGGCAGGAAAGGCAGCCCCCACAGAACACACAGCCUGCAGCAUAGUCCGCACUUUAGCGGAAAAGCGGCUCCAUAGUCGACCGCUGCAGUGUGAUGCCUUGGAGCCGGAAGACAUUGCAGCGCUGGCUCGCCUAGUGUAGGGCCCCAAGGCGCGUCUAGACUACCUGAUGAUGGUGGCUGCGGUGGCUAUCAUGUUUGCCGGCUUCUUCCGGUUCAAUGCUGCUGCUUGAAUUUGCGUGCAUGAGGACUUGCUGUUGAUUUCUGCAUCCCACAUGGAAAUUUUCAUUCCUGGUAAAUUUACCUUUAAAGGAGCACUAUUUAGAGCUGUAUUCUAGUCACGUCAGGUCAUCAAUAAAGACUGUAAUCCUUAACUGCGGUAGGCGGUGGCGGGCUUUCUGGAGGUGGUAGCCAGAUGGUGCCCGUGAAUUUUAGGGGAUGACGACGACCACCGGUAGCUGUUCAAGAUAAUUUCAGAUAACUUCAAGAUCAUUUCAUUUAUUUAAUGAAAUACAGGAGCAAAAGAAAUACAACACAGUAUAUAUCUACCAGGGCACUAUGUAGUAGCUAGCUGGCCACUGAAAAGGGCUCUCGAGCUAGCUGUUGGUUAAGUGCUUCACCUGCAUUUGUAGUCGAUAUGUGUGCCGUACUGUGUACCAGCUAGUACAUAUAUGUAUACCGUAUAUGACGACGUUAUAUCACGACUUUUUCAGAAAAGUAUCGAUUGCUGGAUGCAGAACCCGUGAUAUGCACAGACUAUGAUAACUAUCCCUCCUCCAGCUUCAGGUGGCGUCCUCAACCCAGGUCAAUCUCAGGGUCCGGACCCUGGAUCCCCAGGGACCCAUAGGUGCACCUAUGACACGUGGUGUCAGCACGUGCACCCAUAGGACAACCAGAGGUCACUGGGCCUGCCAGCUCCCGCCAGACCUCAUCAGACAGGAUUUGAACCUGCAGCUGGAUUCGACACAGCUGCUUCGAAGUCAGAACUAGGAUACCUGCUCGGUAACAAAUGUUUUCUCCAGACUUUUUAGAAAAAACCGAUGGGGGGAAGCAAAUUCCGUGAUCUGCAAAAACAAAACCUGGGCAUAUACUCCAAACACUACAGAUGUCUGAAGAUUUAUGUAGUGUAAAUGCUAUCAGGCCUGUCUGGUGGUGGUGGUGUUGUGGCAUACUUGCAUAUUUACCUUAGGAAUUUCCCCGAGACUCUGGCACUUCGCCACUUGGCAUUAUCUUCACUCUUACUUGGUUAACCAUUGGGCACUUGCCUAUCUUUUAUCACGCGUGAUAAUGGGUUAUAGCGCUCUUGCUACAACCGUGACACUUGUCACUGCUAGACCCACUUGGGUUACGACUGACGACUAUAUUCUCGGAUCAUACAGAUUGCUGUACAAUUCAUCCUUAACGCAGAGGCAUUUAGCCUCCAUCCAUUCACUAAUCGGUAGUUUUCACUACCACAGUGGAAGUGGAUACAACACGUGGCGUCUUUGCACCACGGAGUGUGGGGUUAGGAGUCUUAGCUGCAGGGCCGGGAUCACCGGAGCUGCAGCGCCGGAUCGUUAAGCCCUUCACGAAUAUAUUUUGUAGUCAAUAUGUAAGAAGGGAUCAGCUCACCUGGCAUCCCCCUGAGUACAGGGCACUCCCCUGUACUCAGGGGGAUGCCAGGGGAGCUGAUCCCUUCUUACACAUUGCAGUACUGUACCAAGUACAACACAUUUGGUACCUAUACGUCUGUAAAUUUACAGACAGCGUUGUCUUCAAAUUUUAAAGUUAACUUUAAAAUUGUGGAGUGGCAAAUGCUUUCAGGCCGGUCUAUUAUACCAUGGCACACGUCUAGACCAUGCCAUGCACAAUAUAUCUACUGUGCCAUCUAUAUACCAAUCGAUACAAUAAUUCUACCAAAAAUCCAUUCCUCGGUCCUUUUUGAUAUAUGAUUACCCUAUAUGUAGACCAUGAAACAUUUACCGAUGCGUUUGGUGAUACAGAUUACAGGUGCUAACCCAAGCAUUUCAUGUGCACACGCACCUGGAAUUUUUGUAUAAAAACAAAUUGAAGUAACAGUUCUUAAUGGGGCCACAGAGGACUUCAUCCAGCCGUUGGCAUUGAAGCCUAGACAUGCUGGCAACUUUGCACAGUCGGUAGCAGCUGCUGCAGCGGAACCAGAGUUGCUGAGGUCAUCCUUAUCGUGGUCGGUAUCCGGAAGUGCAAUGUAGCCAUAAAAACUUGGACAUGCUGUGGAAUCAGGAAAGGGAAGUGCCAAACAUUGUGUAUGACUCAUUAAGCUACCAAAAGGCAUUGAUGCUGGGAGUUUCUGCAAGGUGCAAUAAGUUGUACUUAUGCAUGAACUACUUACCUUGCAAUGUACACAUCCACACUUGCUAUUUAAAUUUAUUUACUAUUCUGGCCCUGUUCACUGCUGUAGCGGGAACAGGAACAGGAAAGGGCCUGCACAAGCUACGUCAUAUGCAUGUCACACUGCGGCACUACUUGGAAACAUAUUUAUUCUGUUACUUAAAAGCUUUUGAGUAGCACUCUUAAGAGUGCCAGCAUAUAACACGUUCUCCUGGUGCUGCUCAACACAACUUUAGUAAGUACACACAUUAUUAGUUCAGUCUGAGUGCUGGGGUGCAUGGUCCUGGACGUUCGCUACAGUGAAGGUUGUUGGAACAUGUAAUAUCUGGUGAUAACAGCGCCUAACCAGGUGCCGGUGAGAGUUUGUUAACCUAAACGCAGAUGCAGCUAACCACCAUAUGAGCACUGUUUAGACAUGUUGCAGGCUGACCAUCCAAGAGAGGCCUUUUUGCAACACAGCUGACAUUUGUCACCCAGUAUUGCCACGUGCUGAUGAAUGUGGUUCGUCCAUGUCUAUCUUUAAACGACCUCAAGCAAUGGAAAAUGGAACCAAGAAACCGUAACAGGCUGUCAUCUGGUGUAGAUAAUUAUCUUUAUAAAGGCCUCUCGAGAUGCUGGACUGGUCGAAUGCUUUGUGUGUAUUUGUAGAUUAUAUGCGUGCUGUACUGUGUACAAAAUACUACAUGUAUAAAUGUAUACAUUUGGUGAAAGUAAGACGUACUAAUCUUGUCUGUAUAUCCUGCCAGGAUAUCACUUAACCAGUAUUUUUUCAUUUUAGCCUGUCAAUUUUCCAGUCCGACCGGAGGAAUAGGUUUUUUGUCACGGGAAUAAAUGUGUUCCGAAUCUGUAAGGUGCUGGGGGGGCCUACACGGCCCCCAGGCCUAGGGGCCCUCCGAUGAGUUAUAGUUUAGUUCGUACAAACACAGGGUUCGGGGAAUGCCACAACGCGCCCACACCACAAUCUCUCCAUAGAUGUGUCUCUUGCACGCCAGGAAGCGGGGCGCACACUUGGACGCUUUGACAGGAACCCCGAUUGCAUGGGUGACUGCUCUUGCAGAGCCCAACCAAACACAGACCAGUUAACCCCUACUCAAGCAAUGAUCGAAUAGAGUUCUUCACUAUCGUUCGUUUUGCAUCACAUUGAAAGAUAACACGGCACGACUUUCCAGAUUGCAACAGUCAUGAUGCAUAGCAGCAAUGAACCAGAACCGCCAAACGCAAUCUCUGCGGUUGGUUGCAGCCCCUGCUGUUGAUGCUGCACACUAGUUAGCAGUUCAUCAUGUACCGGCCCCUGCUGCUGGCGGCCUUCCACUUCUCCAAUGCCGCCUCAAAGGGGAACACAUCCUCACAUCCGCCGUAAUGCACUGCACCCAUGUAAACAUAGCUCCGAAGUACAGCUGCCACUUGAGGGGAUGAUUGUCCUUCUUCUCCAGCCAUGCACCGUCACUCUGCCCCUUCACGACCCGCUGCAUCUGUGGUCGUGGCGUCUUUGCACCACGGAGUGUGGGGUUAGGAGUCUUAGCUGCAGUGCCGGGAUCGCUGCUGCCAUCGACCUCAACACCCGUGUUUCCUGGCCCAUCGCGGCUGUCUCCAUAUGAAGAACGUUGGCGUUUGGCCUGCUCGCUGUUGACAAUCGGAGUGGCAUCAUUGCCGUCGGCUGGCUGCAGCAUUGCGUCCACAUUGCCUACAACCUCUACACCAUCUUCAUUAAUGUCGCUAAUGGCUUCAGUGAAGUUUAAUAUCUGCUUUAAUGGCCUGCCACGCUUUGGGAGCUUCGGGUCCGAAUAUUUUAAAGUGUUUGGUCCGGUCAGAAACAGUCCGAUUCCUUGUUGACUUUCGGGCGUGACCUUCCCUACAGUAUCCAUGGCAUUAAAGUACUAAGAUAUAUCAUACAUGUUAACCAUAUAUAUGUUUAACAAGUAUGUCUCCUGUAAGAUUAAUCUUCUAGGGGCUAUAAGGAUAUUCUAGCGGCUUUGGCAUGGACAGUACUGUCCAUUUUCCAGGACUAGUCCUGGACUAGUCUAUUUUUGGCUGGAGGAAUGAACUUGUACGAUCGGAACAUAUGCAUUAUCUAUGCUUAAUUUUCAGGACCGCGAACAAUUUGUAUUCCGAUUUCGGAUAUAUUCCGCAAAACAAACGCUGCACAGUUAACAGUGAUAAGCGAUGCUGCGGUGGCCUGCAUGUGUGCAGUUCUAUCACCAGCUGCAGCUCUACCAGGACACGGGUCCUGUCCUGGUGAAGUAGCACUAUUUAAGAGCUGUAUUCCAGUCAGGUCAGGUCAUCACCGAAGACUUACCUGCAGUAGGCGGUACGGGUGGCGGGCUUUCUGGAGAUGGUGGCCAAAUGGUGCCUGCGAAUCAAAGGGGUUGACAACGACCGCUGGUGACUGUCCAAGAUAAUUCAUGAAAUGCAGCAGCAAAAGAAAUACAACACAGUAUAUAUCUACCAGGGCACUAUGUAGUAGCUAGCUGGCCGCUGGCCCCUGGCCGCUGGAAAGGCCUCUCCAGAUGUUAUAACAUAUUGGUUAAGCCCUUCACGCAUAUAAUUUGGUAGUCAAUAUGUGUGCAGUACUGUACCAGGUACAACACAUUUGGUACCUAUACGUCUGUAAGUUUACAGACUUUAAGAUUGUGGAGUGGCAAAUGCUUUCAGGCCGGUCUAUUAUACCAUGGCACGCGUCUAUUGUGCCAUCUAUAUACCAAUCGAUACAAUAAUUCUACCAAAAAUCCAUUCCUCGGUCCUUUUUGAUAUAUGAUUACCCUAUAUGUAGACCAUGAAACAUUUACCGAUGCGUUUGGUGAUACAGAUUACAGGUGCUAACCCAAGCAUUUCAUGUGCACACGCACCUGGAAUUUUUGUAUAAAAACAAAUUGAAGUAACAGUUCUUAAUGGGGCCACAGAGGACUUCAUCCAGCCGUUGGCAUUGAAGCCUGGACAUGCUGGCAACUUUGCACAGUCGGUAGCAGCUGCUGCAGCGGAACCAGAGUUGCUGAGGUCAUCCUUAUCGUGGUCGGUAUCCGGAAGUGCAAUGUAGCCAUAAAAACUUGGACAUGCUGUGGAAUCAGGAAAGGGAAGUGCCAAACAUUGUGUAUGACUCAUUAAGCUACCAAAAGGCAUUGAUGCUGGGAGUUUCUGCAAGGUGCAAUAAGUUGUACUUAUGCAUGAACUACUUACCUUGCAAUGUACACAUCCACACUUGCUAUUUAAAUUUAUUUACUAUUCUGGCCCUGUUCACUGCUGUAGCGGGAACAGGAACAGGAAAGGGCCUGCACAAGCUACGUCAUAUGCAUGUCACACUGCGGCACUACUUGGAAACAUAUUUAUUCUGUUACUUAAAAGCUUAUGAGUAGCACUUUAAGAGUGCCAGCAUAUAACACGUUCUCCUGGUGCUGCUCGGAAUGAGUACACCCCGGGACACAUCUUUAGUAAGUACACACAUUAUUAGUUCAGUCUGAGUGCUGGGGUGCAUGGUCCUGGACGUUCGCUACAGCGAAGGUUGUUGGAACAUGUAAUAUCUGGUGAUAACAGCGCCUAACCAGGUGCCGGUGAGAGUUUGUUAACCUAAACGCAGAUGCAGCUAACCACCACCGGAUAGAGGUACCUCUAUCGAUAUGAGCACUGUUUAGACAUGUUGCAGGCUGACCAUCCAAGGGAGGCCUUUUUGCAACACAGCUGACAUUUGUCACCCGUCACUGUUCAGUAUUGCCACGUGCUGAUGAAUGUGGUUCGUCGAUGUCUAUCUUUAAACGACCUCAAGCAAUGGAAAAUGGAACCAAGAAACCGUAACAGGCUGUCAUCUGGUGUAGAUAAAGGCCUCUCGAGAUGCUGGACUGGUCGAAUGCUUUGUGUGUAUUUGUAGAUUAUAUGCGUGCUGUACUGUGUACAAAAUACUACAUGUAUAAAUGUAUACAUUUGGUGAAAGUAAGACAUACUAAUCUUGUCUGUAUAUCCUGCCAGGAUAUCACUUAACCAGUAUUUUUUCAUUUUAGCCUGUCAAUUUUCCAGUCCGACCGGAGGAAUAGUUUUUUUGUCACGGGAAUAAAAGUGUUCCGAAUCUGUAAGGUGCUGGGGGGGCCUACACGGCCCCCAGGCCUAGGGGCCCCCCGAUGAGUUAUAGUUUAGUUCGUACAAACACAGGGUUCGGGGAAUGCCACAACACGCCCACACCACAAUCUCUCCAUAGAGGUGUCUAGACACCUGCAAGAGAUCUCUUGCAGGUGUCUAGACACCUCUAUCUAGAUCUCUUGCACGCCAGGAAGCGGGGCGCACACUUGGACGCUUUGACAGGAACCCCGAUUGCAUGGGUGACUGCUCUUGCAGAGCCCAACCAAACACAGACCAGUUAACCCCUACUCAAGCAAUGAUCGAAUAGAGUUCUUCACUAUCGUUCGUUUUGCAUCACAUUGAAAGAUAACACGGCACGACUUUCCAGAUUGCAACAGUCAUGAUGCAUAGCAGCAAUGAACCAGAACCGCCAAACGCAAUCUCUGCGGUUGGUUGCAGCCCCUGCUGUUGAUGCUGCACACUAGUUAGCAGUUCAUCAUGUACCGGCCCCUGCUGCUGGCGGCCUUCCACUUCUCCAGUGCCGCCUCAAAGGGGAACACAUCCUCACAUCCGCCGUAAUGCACUGCACCCAUGUAAACAUAGCUCCGAAGUACAGCUGCCACUUGAGGGGAUGAUUGUCCUUCUUCUCCAGCCAUGCACCGACACUCUGCCCCUUCACGACCCGCUGCAUCUGUGGUCGUGGCGUCUUUGCACCACGGAGUGUGGGGUUAGGAGUCUUAGCUGCAGCGCCGGGAUCGCUGCUGCCAUCGGCCUCAACACCCGUGUUUCCUGGCCCAUCGCGGUUGUCUCCAUAUGAAGAACGUUGGCGUUUGGCCUGCUCGCUGUUGACAAUCGGAGUGGCAUCAUUGCCGUCGGCUGGCUGCAGCAUUGCGUCCACAUUGCCUACAACCUCUACACCACCUUCAUUAAUGUCGCUAAUGGCUUCAGUGAAGUUUAAUAUCUGCUUUAAUGGCCUGCCACGCUUUGGGAGCUUCGGGUCCGAAUAUUUUGCAGUGUUUGGUCCGGUCAGAAACAGUCCGAUUCCUUGUUGACUUUCGGGCGUGACCUUCCUUACAGUAUCCAUGGCAUUAAAGUACUAAGAUAUAUCAUACAUGUUAACCAUAUAUAUGUUCAACAAGUAUGUCUCCUGUAAGAUAAAUCUUCUAGGGGCUAUAAGAAUAUUCUAGCGGCUUUGGCAUGGACAGUACUGUCCAUUUUCCAUGGCCAGGAAUAGUCCAUUUUUGGCUGGAGGAAUGAACUUGUACGAUCGGAACAUAUGCAUUAUCUAUGCUUAAUUUUCAGGACCGCGAACAAUUUGUAUUCCGAUUUCAGAUAUAUUCCGCAAAACAAACGCUGCACAGUUAACAGUGAUAAGCGAUGCUGCGGUGGCCUGCAUGUGUGCAGUUCUAUCACCAGCUGCAGCUCUACCAGGACACGGGUCCUGUCCUGGUGAAGUAGCACUAUUUAAGAGCUGUAUUCCAGUCAGGUCAGGUCAUCACCGAAGACUUACCUGCAGUAGGCGGUGGCGGGCUUUCUGGAGGUGGUGGCCAGAUGGUGCCUGCGAAUCAAAGGGGUUGACAACGACCGCUGGUGACUGUCCAAGAUAAUUCAUGAAAUGCAGCAGCAAAAGAAAUACAACACAGUAUAUAUCUACCAGGGCACUAUGUAGUAGCUAGCUGGCCGCUGGCCCCUGGCCGCUGGAAAGGCCUCUCCAGAUGUUAUAACAUAUUGGUUAAGCCCUUCAGGCAUAUAAUUUGUAGUCAAUAUGUGUGCAGUACUGUACCAGCUGGUACAACCUGCAGGUACAACACAGGUACUUUAGAAGUACGCAAGAGAGCACUUCGCCUGCUCUCUUGCGUACUUCUAAAGUGGCAAGUUGCAAGUCGCAAGUCGCAAGGAACACGCAAAAUUUCUAUUUGGUAUUCUAUGUACGCGAUUACGUACGUGUGCAUACUCAGUUUGUAGAGCGGAUUUCACAAUGGGAGAAGUAUUGAACCGUUACUACUACAGCAAACAAGUGCGCGAACGUGUUGCCACCGCUAUUUCGACGAAAAUUACACGCAAGCGCAUAUAGCUGAAGCUUUCGGGCACAGACCUUGCGAGAGGACUGUGCAUGCUAUCAUACAGUCCUACGUGGCGAAUGGCGAUGUCCUGCCGCUUAGAGGACAAACAGGAACACGCAAACCACACAAGUUUGAUGAGAUUGCUCCACAGACACUGGUGGAGCUGGUGCAGGCCGACGACCAAGCAUUGCUCUCCGAUCUGGCCACCGCUAUGACAAACUUACUGGGCACUCUUUGGAGCGGCCCUGAUAUUAGCCGUGCAUUGUCUGAGCUGGGUUACGUCCGCAAGAAGGUUUUUACCAGGGCAUUCGAGGCACGGGAAUCAGUUCAGCUGGCAUAUCACAAGCUUGUGUGACAAUUUGUUCAAAUGGCCCAGAAGCCUCCCACUCUGUAACAAUUCAAUUCAACUUCGUGAGCUUGUGCGUGAGCGUGUGUGUGUGUGUGUGUGUAUGUGUGUGUGUGUGUGUGUGUGUGUGUGUGUGUGUGUGUGUGUGUGUGUGUGUGUGUGCGUGUGUGUGUGUGCGUGUGUGUGUGUGCGUGUGCGUGUGUUGCAAGUACCGUAGCGGAACUAAAGGUUUUACAAAAUAAAUCAUUAUUUGCAUGCGGUAAAAUGUUUUGGCAAAAUUCAGAGUCUUUCUGUAAAAUCUUUAGUUCCCGGGAGGGAAUUUGGAGCGAUGCCGUAAAAUACAUAUGGCCCUUCACGCACAACAGGCUUAUGGCACUACCUCUUAUACUAUUUUAUACAGAAUAUUGUAACAUAUCACUAUAUCAACCUAUUCCUGGCAGCAGCAUGGGCAAGCACAAGCUCACCAAACACCGCUUCAUUGACAAGCUGCCGGCCAUACCAUACCAUAUACGGCAAUGCUCUCGCGUCCUUCAUCAAUCAUAAGAAUUCUGCGGCUGCUACAGAAUGGUGAAUGUUUGGAGGCCGUGUCACGGUGGCUUGGCUUCCAGAUGGGGGUUUACAAUUCGGAGAUUCUUAGUUUGUGCCCCUUAUGCGUGAGAGGGAGGCGGGCAGUGGUGUUGCACGGUUGGGUAGCUUUGCGGGACGGUAAAAUCCCAGGAAAUCAUCCACAGUACCGUAAAACCUUGGCAAAAUCCGCCAGCAUGCGGUAAAAUACUUCGUUCCGUAAAAUAUAUUAAAAUCCAUAAUUUUGCGGUAAAAUCUUUAUUUUGUAAAAUCUUUAGUUCCACUACGCGUAAGGUAUUUGACCGUGCCUGAAACUGGCCAGGGACUGCUGCCCAGCCCCAACAGAAAGACCACCUAAGCUCCUCCCGCAGACUGGAGAGGGGUGUAAGGGGCCUCUGUCCCUCCUAAGCAGCCGAGAACCGCGGGUCCACUAGUUCUGCUCUCCUCCCCUGGGGGUCAAGGCUCCGUCAUGCGAGUUUGAGCACUGAGCCUGAAACACACAAGAAGACUGGCUCUUGGGGUGAAGGUUCAAGAAGACCGAGGAAACCCGGAAACCCCUACCCCUCUCUAUUAAGGCACCAGGCCCUAAUAGAAAGCUCGGUCUCUCACCCGAUUCUCCGUUGCUUGCCCGCAAGGGGCAUGGGGGAGUGGGCAGGGUUCAUUGUUAACAAUUGUUAACGAACGUUCGUGCUGAAAUCCAUAAUGACCACCUGAAAUCGCUAUGCCCCAAUGUUUGCAUCAAAUGCUUAUAUGUUUCCGGUUAGGCUGUUGGGAGUUAGAGAUUAACCAACCUAACGGCCAUGAGUGCACAGCAUGCACCUGCAGGCUUUGUGACUGCGGGGCGGUUGAAGACGAAAUGCAUGUCUUUGUGGAAUGCCUGGCGUACAUUAGCACACGGGCGAACGUGACCUCAUGUUUCAAGGAUGCAACAUGUGCAUGAUAGUGACCGAGGCCCCACCCCUGGCACUAGCCAGGUUCCUCUCGGAAGUCUGGGAGACCCGGCGUGUUGCUGUAAGGCGCUCUGUGCUCAAGCAGACGAGGGUGGACUAUAAUGGUCCACCAUGUAACCACCCUAAAAACAAUUCACACCCAUGGGCCCCCCAGCUCUUACGGACACCCCCACACUUGUGUGGAACUUGUGUGGACUAGGCUGGUUCCUAUCAGUCCACCGCCGGGGCUAGGGAUGCCUCGAGGCAGUGUGGUUGUUACAGUGGGCUCCAGACUCACAAAGAGUACAGCGAGCGGGCCAGCAGGCCGUGCACUGCACCUGAUACAAUGAGGGCAAACAAGACUCCCACCCAGACCAGACAACGCAAGUCACCUAGACAUCCAAAAGCAAAUCCAAGGGCAGGCUCAGAACCCGCAACCACAGCAAUUAGACUCCCCAAUUGGCGAAAGUCCUCGGAACCCCACCAGAAGGCCCAUAAGCAAAUACUGUUAAGAACUUGAUGAGAUACAAUAAGCAAAUACUACAGCUACAUUGCAUUGCUCAGACAGCUACAUUGCACUGCUCAGACAGACGAAGCCACUUCAGCAUAGUUAACUAUGACGACGGGUGAUCGCGUUACGUCGCGUUAAAUUCGCGUUACGAGGCUUUAACGCGAGUUUAACGCGACGCUAACGCGAUGUAACGCGAUCUUAAGCACUGAUAACGCACCGGUUCGCUUGUGGGUAUGGCCUAACGCACAUCAUCUUUAUUCGCAUGCGAACGAGCUGAGUAAUUUUGGCUGGCAGUGCGUUAGCUUAAGCAACUAACGCAAACUAACGCAAACUUUACGCGAUCGUAAACGCGACCAGGUGACUUUUAACGCGAGCGUUACCUUACCUAUAGGUGUAACGCAUACGCAAGCGAAUGGCAUACGCGGCUGCGACUGGUGCGAAUGCGUAUGCAUAUGCGAAUGUGGCGAAUGAUAUCGCGAGUUUUACGCGACCCUAAACGCGACCAGGUGACUUUUAACGCGAGCGUUAGCUUAGCUAUAGGUGUAACGCAUACGCGGCUGCGACUGGUGCGAAUGCGUAUGCAUAUGCGAAUGUGGCGAAUGAUAUCGCGAGUUUUACGCGACCCUAAACGCGACCAGGUGACUUUUAACGCGAGCGUUAGCUUAGCUAUAGGUGUAACGCAUACGCGGCUGCGACUGGUGCGAAUGCGUAUGCAUAUGCGAAUGUGGCGAAUGAUAUCGCGAGUUUUACGCGACCCUAAACGCGACCAGGUGACUUUUAACGCGAGCGUUAGCUUAGCUAUAGGUGUAACGCAUACGCAUGCGAAUGCUGCGAAUGCGUAUGCACAUGCGAAUGUGGCGAAUAAUUUCGCGAGGUUUACGCGACCCUAAACGCGACCAGGUGACUUUUAACGCGAGCGUAUCGCCAAACGCAAGGGAUUGCGAAUGGCAUACGCGACUGCGAAUCCUGAGAAUGCAUGUGCUACCAUUUGAAUUUUACGCGAGUGGCUGCGACUUGCGUGCGGGACUGCGAACUGUACGGCCAACCGUGCAAUACAAAAGCUUUACAAUAGCAGUACACGAGCUGUACAAUGUGCAAAGUGCACCGCCGUUGCACAUGACCUGCAGGUUCACAGCUGUGAACCACAGCACUCACUGCUUUCUUCAUACAUUUGAACUAUCCCUGCAUGACAGGUACGAAUUCAUAGCAAAUCCUAACAUGACCGAUGCAACUCAGCCAGCAACUCUUACCAUGGAAAAGGGUCCAACAGUCUAACGUCAGAAAAAAUGGACACACAAAUGUUAAGCGCAUGUAAAUGUACCACAAUACAGCCACUAUUGUCUUCUUAUUAAAGCGCUCAAUCCUCGCCUCCGCUGAUGUCAUCUUCACGAACGAUGGCAUAUAUCUGCAUAUGAAAGGAUCACAACAAAUCAUUGUUUAGGCAGGAACACAUAGUUGUGAGCAUGUUACGUACAAUGACGGCUGUAGGUGUGACACCGGCAUAACGUGCCUCGAAAUAAGGCAAUAAAAAGCAUUUAGUUAAUAGCCAUGGUCUUGCAACCAGAGGCUUCAUACCUCCGAACACUACGUGGCCUGCCACGUCCCGUUUGAGCCCGACUCUUGUUCAUAUCCUUACCACCAUCCUUGCGCUUGUCCUAUUCCUUGCGAUUCUCCUGCUCGUGUCCUGUUAAUGUUAAAUGACAAGGCAUAAUGUCAGUGUAUGCACCUGCAUGAUGGCCACUUACUGCCGGUGCCGUCUAGUCCCCCUUUUCCUGCUUUCCCCUGCUUGCCUGCGAAUGAAUGCUGCGCCAUUAUAGAGGAAGAAAGACAGAUUCUUGUUAUGAAGAUGCUAAUUCAUUAGGCUUUACCUUACACUGUCGUCAUUGGAGGAUCAGCGUGAGUAUAAGCAAUGCAUACGCGCUAAACAACAAAUUCAAGAUAAUCUUAUUAGUGCAAUGCGCGCAAUGAAUUACUGCCCUGAGGACACGGGCAGCACUGGGCCUUACGCCCAACUUACUCCCAACUCCCAACUAACCCUCUUACUUAACGCAAGCUCGCAUAAGUUGUUGCGUCAGAGACAAAUGCCAAAGGAGAAGAUACCCCCUCUAACGGUUGAAAUACUGAACCACCACGGCGCUUCGUGCCGAGCCGCAAGAGGGCCAAAGACGUGAGAGCUGCCAGACAGGCGCGCACACCGAAACUCCCGAAGCCAAACGCCUCGAAAGACCUCCGAACGACACCCCAGCAGCAGGGGCGGCGGACGCGCCACCUCUACGCAGGCAAAAGAGGGAACAAAAUAAACGCAAAGCGCCAACAGACUGACCCACCGCCACCGACGCGACGGAUCACUCAACAGUUGCUGACGGACGCCCACUGAAGGAAGGGUCGAUAGGAAGCCAAAACAUGUGCCCGCUCAGGGGUGACCAAGCGGCCAAAACUAGGGGCUUGAUCUGAAACACCGGGUCUGCAACAAUGACCGCUCCACGAACCCAGGUCACCGACAGCAGAGAAAACGGACAAAGAAAAGACACAGACCUAAUACGACAAACAACAAACACAAGGCCGCGAAAUGGAGACACACGAACCCAUUCAGCGCCAAAAGAAGUACUCGAACUUAGUCCAGAACCAGCGGUGUUGGAACCGGCGGUACCAUCGGAUAUCAAGCAAAGCGAAACCACUCCGAAAUCAGGGGAAUUCCAGUCGCUGGUGACACAACACGAUGAAAAAACCAACUACCUGCACGGUGCCUUCCGAGUGCACACCUUCGCACAACAAAUUCCUUCCUAUUCGCUCGUCGUAACUGUGUGUCUGCUCCCCUGCACAAUAUGCAAUUAAGGCGCUACCUCAUUGAGGUCCCAUUGCCCCUACAAGAUAUUAUGAGCCCCCAGGGGGGGCAUGAAAUGCUAGGAAAGCGCACCUCGGGGGCACACGACCCCGCAAUUGCAGCGCCACACUGACCGACCGAGUGCUAAGCAAAGCACCCACAAGACGACUGCACCCGCACUGCCAGACCUGCCAGGAAGGGGGGGAGAUAGGUGCUCGACCCUCCCUCAUCCGGCACAAACAGCUCCGUAUUCGAAGGCAGGAACACAAGGUCAACCGCCAACUCCAUAAACUGUUGCCACCAAGGUUGGGCCGUCCAGUACGGCACGACUAGGAAAGACACCCUAGCACUGCUUGAGUGCACGUGUUUUCCACACUGAUUAAGACAACACGCUGCUGAAAGGACGGAAGAAAGGACUCUAAUGCAGGAUGGACAGCGUGCAACUCCUUCCAACUGACGUGCUCAUAGAGCUCUGGUGCCGACCAAUAACCGCGCGCCACACGAUCAUGCAGGACCGCGCCCCCCUCGCAUGGUGCUCUGUCGAUCUAAGUGACGCCCAGCACCGUGCGGCAGUGCACGAACUUGAUUUCACCCAGUGCCUUGGUGAGAAUGUCAGCCACCGUGUUGUUGGUAGUACAAUAGCUGAGCUUAACCUCACCGUGCACGGCCGUUUCACGCAUGAUGUGGUGGUGCACAUGGAUAUGCUUGGAGCGCACCAAGGUGAUGGGGUUGUUGCCGAGGCUGAGCGCGCCUUGUGAAUCCAGCUGGAUGUUGAUGGCGCCGGGUGACAGGUCCAGGUCGCCCGCCAGCUUGCGCAGCCACAUAGUGCCUCGUGCACGGCUGCUGCGGCGGCCUGGUACUCGGCCUCAAGGCAACCAAGGUGCGCUGCAACUGGCUGCUCCAGCUGACCGCUGCACUGCCGAGCAAGAAUGUGUAGCCCGUGGUGGACCGGCGGGUGGCUGGGUCGCCGGCCCAGUCCGCAUCACUGUACACGCCGAAGUUGCUGGUGUCGCUGCUGCUGUCGCCACGGUACCGCAGCCCGAGUGUGCAGGUGCCGGAUAGGUAGCGCAUCAUGCCCAGCACGAGGCCCAUGUGGGCCUUGGUGGGGACGGGCAUGUGUCACACGAGCAUGCUCAGAGUGUGUGUAAUGUCCGGGCGUGUGCUGGUGGCGAGGUAUUUCAGCUCGCCCACCAGCACACGGUAGCCGCUGCCAUCAAUCACUGUCGGCUGGGCGUCGCUGGCUGGCAGAGCACACAUGCCCUGAGGCAGCAGGGUGGCGCUCGACUUGGCAUUCUCCAGGCUGUGGCGCUGCAGCAGCUGCUCCACAUAGUGCUGCUGCGUGAGCACGAUGCAGUGGUUGUGGCCAUCCUGGACGAUCUUCAUGCCGAGGUAGUAGUGCGCCUCGCCAAGGUCACGCACUGUGAAGCAACCGGCGAUGGCUGCCUUGGUGGCCGCGACCACUUGCAGGUUGUCCGCCGUCACCAGCAUGUCGUUGGCAGUGUGCUCUGCACUGUUGCCUCCGCCACCGCCACUGCCAUCGGGCAUGUUAGACUUCGUGCUGUCAGCGCUACCACCUGAGCAGCGGUGGACUUCCCGACUCUCCGCCGCCGCCGCUGCUGCUGCUGUCAGGGGGGGGGCCGUCACUGACCGGGGCCAGCGGGAGUGUGCAGGGACUGCCGUUGACUGCGGGUGUUGGGGUGGAGGGGUGGUGUUGGAGUCACCGGGGGUGGGGUGGCCGCUGGGGUCGGCAGCUUGGUGGGCGGUGUAGAGCUGCCGAUGGUGUUGCUGCCGCCGGGGCAGGCGGGGCUAGUGCUGAAGGGGGUGCCCGCCCGUUGUGAACCGGGCUGUGGUGGUCCUCAUUGAAGGUGACAUCGCUGCUCAUGGUCACCUUGCCCUCAAUGAGGAUGCUGUGGGUGGCCAUGCCAUGCUCCGGUCGGCGGUAGGUUUCCGCCUUUGCACGAGGACCGAGUUUGUCCUGCUGGCUGGGUGGGAUGCGGACGUAGGCCAGGCGGCCGAAGGUGUGCAGGUGGCUGACGUCGGGGAGGAUGCCGUGAUAAGCUGCCCACGGUGUGGCCUCCCGGCCCUGAGAGGGGGAAACAUUGCGCAGGAGGUUGGUGUAGAGCACAGCCUCCGGCCUGUAGCUGCCCGGGAGUGCUGCGUCGUGCAGCAUCGUCCGCACAUGGCCGAGGAGCAUGUGGUUGAGUCACUCCACCGCUCCGCUCUGCUCCGGGGUGUAUGACGCCGAGUGGUUGUGCACGGUGCCGUGCUGGCACAGCCACUGCCGCAGUUGCUCGGUGAUGUACUCACCGCGUUUGUCGCUGUGCAGCAUGUGCACCCGUGCAUGGUUCAGGUGGUGGGCCUCCAGCUGCGUCACCAUGUCCUGCAGCACUUCACCCACUUGGCUCUUGCUUGCCAGCGUGCGGACGGUGGACAGACUGGUGGCACCGUCCAGCAGCAUCAGCAAGUAGCGUGCGCCCCCUCGGCCCAUGGUCGGCAUGGGCCCGCACAGGUCAGAGUGUACGACCUCCAGUGCAUGCUGCGGCCGGUUGCUGCGGCUGGGAUGGGCGGUUACGGUGGCCUUCAUGGUGACACAGGCCUCGCAGACGGUCUCCGCCGCCUGGUGCAGUGCCGCUGGAGUUACCUGUGGUCCGUGCACCAGGUGCUUGCUGAUCAGCUGCUCCAGCACGCGGUAACCAAGGUGACAGUAAUGGCGGUGCUGCCAGUGUGCUGCCGUGAGUUCGGCGACUGAGCAUUCGGCGGCCCCGGGGCUGCCGUUGCCUGGUUGCCCUUUGCUGUUGCUGUCACCGUCCGGCUGGCCUCCACCGGUGUGGCUGCCGGCGGUGCUGCCGCCACGGGCGCUGGAGACAGCGGCGGCACUUCCGCCAGCACUUCUAACUGCGGCCUGGCCCCCACCGGCUCUGUCGCCCACGGUGCCGAGGGCAUUGACGGUGACGUCGGUCGGUGCCUGCAGGUCCACGUCCAUGUGUAGUGCCCACGCUCAUUCCAUGCGGUGAUAGACGGGCUGUUGCGAGGGAGGCCGAUGCAUGAGAACCAGCAGCCCGUCUUGUCCAUGCUGAAUGUGACUGAGCAGCUGCGUGUCACGAGAAGGUUGACAGAUGUUAGGAUGAGGCCCGAGCUGGGGACGUGCAGCAUGUUGUGCAGCCGGACAUUGUGUCCAUCACGUGUACGCAGGUGCAGCUGCACUGUUCCCAUGACAUCGGCCAGCUGGUUGUGGCCCCACUCGAUCAGCCGUGGCGCGCCGGCGGGGACGUGGUUGUGCAGCAGGGAGUGGUCACCCGUGAGGUGGUACGGUGAGCCUGAGUCGAGGAUGACUCGUGAGCUGCUGCCACUGCCGUCGAUGACCAGCACUGUGGCACGGCUCUGGCGUGAGCUGCUUCUGCUGCUGUCCGAGCCGCUGCCACUGCUGCCGCCUGCAGUGUCGCCACCGUUGCGGUGGCUGUUGCCGCAUCGAGCACGGCCGCAUUCACAUGCUCCGUCGGCCCCGCUGUUACUACCAUUGCCGCUGCCAGUGUCCCUGCCGCCGCCGUCACAGUGGCGGUUGCGGCUGCCUCAACUGAUGUUGCCGGCGGCGUGCAGCUGCUCGAAUGCGUUGCUGUGGUGAAGGCCGACGGACUCGUCCGCCUGCUUAACGGGGCACUCGCAGAUGUAGUAACCAGGCUGUCCGCAGUAGCGGCAGGUGUCGCCGGCCCCCACGGCGCCUGCAGCACUGGCGGUGCUGCCGACUCCACUGGGGGCACGGCCAGGGCCGACAGCUCCCACCAGGCUGGUCUUGCUUGCUUGGGUCUUGAGGUUGUUGUCCUUCUCCCGCAGCAUGAGCACGAGCUGUUGGGUCGUUAAGUUGGGCUGAUACAUCGUGAACUCGAUGGUGAUGGCGUACUGCGGAGGCAGGCCAUGGAGAAUGGCGUGGCGCACCGUGCUCUCGUCCCACUGGCCGCCGGCCACAAUUAUAUCGCUACGGAGCUGCUCUGCCCGCUAAAUGAAGUCAGCGGUUGUCUCCCCAUCGCGCAUGUUCAGCUGCAUCUGCGGCUCAACCAGGCUCAGCCGGGCCUGGGAUGCAGAACGGAACUGUUGCUGUAAGAGCUGCAUGGCGGCGAGACCGGUUGGGCAAUUCAUGAGCAACUGCUUGAUGGGCAGUUCACAGGACAGACGCAGGUAGCUGAGCGCCUGUGCGUCCUCCUCCAGGGCGUCUUGGGAGUUGCGGCUCGGAGGCGACGGGUUGUUGAUGUAGCUCUUCAACUUGGACGUUGCGAGGAAAUCGCCUAACUCGCCGAGCCAGUGGGAGUAGUUCGACCCAUCCCAGANNNNNNNNNNNNNNNNNNNNNNNNNNNNNNNNNNNNNNNNNNNNNNNNNNCCAGGCGGCCGAAGGUGUGCAGGUGGCUGACGUCGGGGAGGAUGCCGUGAUAAGCUGCCCACGGUGUGGCCUCCCGGCCCUGAGAGGGGGAAACAUUGCGCAGGAGGUUGGUGUAGAGCACAGCCUCCGGCCUGUAGCUGCCCGGGAGUGCUGCGUCGUGCAGCAUCGUCCGCACAUGGCCGAGGAGCAUGUGGUUGAGUCACUCCACCGCUCCGCUCUGCUCCGGGGUGUAUGACGCCGAGUGGUUGUGCACGGUGCCGUGCUGGCACAGCCACUGCCGCAGUUGCUCGGUGAUGUACUCACCGCGUUUGUCGCUGUGCAGCAUGUGCACCCGUGCAUGGUUCAGGUGGUGGGCCUCCAGCUGCGUCACCAUGUCCUGCAGCACUUCACCCACUUGGCUCUUGCUUGCCAGCGUGCGGACGGUGGACAGACUGGUGGCACCGUCCAGCAGCAUCAGCAAGUAGCGUGCGCCCCCUCGGCCCAUGGUCGGCAUGGGCCCGCACAGGUCAGAGUGUACGACCUCCAGUGCAUGCUGCGGCCGGUUGCUGCGGCUGGGAUGGGCGGUUACGGUGGCCUUCAUGGUGACACAGGCCUCGCAGACGGUCUCCGCCGCCUGGUGCAGUGCCGCUGGAGUUACCUGUGGUCCGUGCACCAGGUGCUUGCUGAUCAGCUGCUCCAGCACGCGGUAACCAAGGUGACAGUAAUGGCGGUGCUGCCAGUGUGCUGCCGUGAGUUCGGCGACUGAGCAUUCGGCGGCCCCGGGGCUGCCGUUGCCUGGUUGCCCUUUGCUGUUGCUGUCACCGUCCGGCUGGCCUCCACCGGUGUGGCUGCCGGCGGUGCUGCCGCCACGGGCGCUGGAGACAGCGGCGGCACUUCCGCCAGCACUUCUAACUGCGGCCUGGCCCCCACCGGCUCUGUCGCCCACGGUGCCGAGGGCAUUGACGGUGACGUCGGUCGGUGCCUGCAGGUCCACGUCCAUGUGUAGUGCCCACGCUCAUUCCAUGCGGUGAUAGACGGGCUGUUGCGAGGGAGGCCGAUGCAUGAGAACCAGCAGCCCGUCUUGUCCAUGCUGAAUGUGACUGAGCAGCUGCGUGUCACGAGAAGGUUGACAGAUGUUAGGAUGAGGCCCGAGCUGGGGACGUGCAGCAUGUUGUGCAGCCGGACAUUGUGUCCAUCACGUGUACGCAGGUGCAGCUGCACUGUUCCCAUGACAUCGGCCAGCUGGUUGUGGCCCCACUCGAUCAGCCGUGGCGCGCCGGCGGGGACGUGGUUGUGCAGCAGGGAGUGGUCACCCGUGAGGUGGUACGGUGAGCNUGAGUCGAGGAUGACUCGUGAGCUGCUGCCACUGCCGUCGAUGACCAGCACUGUGGCACGGCUCUGGCGUGAGCUGCUUCUGCUGCUGUCCGAGCCGCUGCCACUGCUGCCGCCUGCAGUGUCGCCACCGUUGCGGUGGCUGUUGCCGCAUCGAGCACGGCCGCAUUCACAUGCUCCGUCGGCCCCGCUGUUACUACCAUUGCCGCUGCCAGUGUCCCUGCCGCCGCCGUCACAGUGGCGGUUGCGGCUGCCUCAACUGAUGUUGCCGGCGGCGUGCAGCUGCUCGAAUGCGUUGCUGUGGUGAAGGCCGACGGACUCGUCCGCCUGCUUAACGGGGCACUCGCAGAUGUAGUAACCAGGCUGUCCGCAGUAGCGGCAGGUGUCGCCGGCCCCCACGGCGCCUGCAGCACUGGCGGUGCUGCCGACUCCACUGGGGGCACGGCCAGGGCCGACAGCUCCCACCAGGCUGGUCUUGCUUGCUUGGGUCUUGAGGUUGUUGUCCUUCUCCCGCAGCAUGAGCACGAGCUGUUGGGUCGUUAAGUUGGGCUGAUACAUCGUGAACUCGAUGGUGAUGGCGUACUGCGGAGGCAGGCCAUGGAGAAUGGCGUGGCGCACCGUGCUCUCGUCCCACUGGCCGCCGGCCACAAUUAUAUCGCUACGGAGCUGCUCUGCCCGCUAAAUGAAGUCAGCGGUUGUCUCCCCAUCGCGCAUGUUCAGCUGCAUCUGCGGCUCAACCAGGCUCAGCCGGGCCUGGGAUGCAGAACGGAACUGUUGCUGUAAGAGCUGCAUGGCGGCGAGACCGGUUGGGCAAUUCAUGAGCAACUGCUUGAUGGGCAGUUCACAGGACAGACGCAGGUAGCUGAGCGCCUGUGCGUCCUCCUCCAGGGCGUCUUGGGAGUUGCGGCUCGGAGGCGACGGGUUGUUGAUGUAGCUCUUCAACUUGGACGUUGCGAGGAAAUCGCCUAACUCGCCGAGCCAGUGGGAGUAGUUCGACCCAUCCCAGAGGAUGACGGUCUUACAUCCCUUCCCCAUGAUGGUUGGCUAGCGAGCGUGACUGAUGAAGACGCGUUCCCCGCCGCUUUCUGGCAACUAGAAAUGUUAUGAUGUAUCGUUGGUCCGGCGUACGACGGCGCCUGGUGCGAUUUAUGCGCCCGGAAGCCCUUUCAGCCUCCAGGCAUGUCCCCACCUGCCUCACAGCCGCCGACGCAUCUCACGGCGGGGUUCUAAUUGCGUGCGCGUAUGGAUGCUCCUUAACCCACCGCCUUUCGAACAACUAGAAAUGUUAUGAUGUAUCGUUGGUCCGGCGUACGACGGCGCCUGGUGCGAUUUAUGCGCCCGGAAGCCCUUUCAGCCUCCAGGCAUGUCCCCACCUGCCUCACAGCCACCGACGCAUCUCACGGCGGGGUUCUAAUGAGGUGCGCGUAUGGAUGCUCCUUAACCCACCGCCUUUCGAACAACUAGAAAUGUUAUGAUGUAUCGUUGGUCCGGCGUACGACGGCGCCUGGUGCGAUUUAUGCGCCCGGAAGCCCUUUCAGCCUCCAGGCAUGUCCCCACCUGCCUCACAGCCACCGACGCAUCUCACGGCGGGGUUCUAAUGAGGUGCGCGUAUGGAUGCUCCUAUUCCACCGCCUUUCGAACAACUAGAAAUGUUAUGAUGUAUCGUUGGUCCGGCGUACGACGGCGCCUGGUGCGAUUUAUGCGCCCGGAAGCCCUUUCAGCCUCCAGGCAUGUCCCCACCUGCCUCACAGCCACCGACGCAUCUCACGGCGGGGUUCUAAUGAGGUGCGCGUAUGGAUGCUCCUAUUCCACCGCCUUUCGAACAACUAGAAAUGUUAUGAUGUAUCGUUGGUCCGGCGUACGACGGCGCCUGGUGCGAUUUAUGCGCCCGGAAGCCCUUUCAGCCUCCAGGCAUGUCCCCACCUGCCUCACAGCCACCGACGCAUCUCACGGCGGGGUUCUAAUUGCGUGCGCGUAUGGAUGCUCCUAUUCCUGCCGCCUUUCUAGCAACUAGUUAUGUUAUUAUGCAUCGUUGGUCCGGCGUACGACGGCGCCUGGUGCGAUUUAUGCGUCCGGAAGCCCUUUCAGCCUCACAGGCAUGUCCCCACCUGCCUCACAGCCGCUGACGCAUCUCACGGCGGGGGUCUAAUUGCGUGCGCGUAUGGAUGCUCCUAUUCCUGCCGCCUUUCUAACAGCUAGUUACUGUUAUGAUGCAUCGUUGGUCCGGCGUACGACGGCGCCUGGUGCGAUUUAUGCGUCCGGAAGCCCUUUCAGCCUCACAGGCAUGUCCCCACCUGCCUCACAGCCGCCGACGCAUCUCACGGCGGGGGUCUAAUUGCGUGCGCGUAUGGAUGCUCCUAUUCCUGCCGCCUUUCUAGCAACUAGUUAUGUUAUGAUGCAUCGUUGGUCCGGCGUACGACGGCGCCUGGUGCGAUUUAUGCGCCCGGAAGCCCUUUCAGCCUCCAGGCAUGUCCCCACCUGCCUCACAGCCACCGACGCAUCUCACGGCGGGGUUCUAAUUGCGUGCGCGUAUGGAUGCUCCUAUUCCACCGCCUUUCGAACAACUAGAAAUGUUAUGAUGUAUCGUUGGUCCGGCGUACGACGGCGCCUGGUGCGAUUUAUGCGCCCGGAAGCCCUUUCAGCCUCCAGGCAUGUCCCCACCUGCCUCACAGCCACCGACGCAUCUCACGGCGGGGUUCUAAUGAGGUGCGCGUAUGGAUGCUCCUUAACCCACCGCCUUUCGAACAACUAGAAAUGUUAUGAUGUAUCGUUGGUCCGGCGUACGACGGCGCCUGGUGCGAUUUAUGCGCCCGGAAGCCCUUUCAGCCUCCAGGCAUGUCCCCACCUGCCUCACAGCCACCGACGCAUCUCACGGCGGGGUUCUAAUUGCGUGCGCGUAUGGAUGCUCCUAUUCCUGCCGCCUUUCUAGCAACUAGUUAUGUUAUUAUGCAUCGUUGGUCCGGCGUACGACGGCGCCUGGUGCGAUUUAUGCGUCCGGAAGCCCUUUCAGCCUCACAGGCAUGUCCCCACCUGCCUCACAGCCGCUGACGCAUCUCACGGCGGGGGUCUAAUGAGGUGCGCGUAUGGAUGCUCCUAUUCCUGCCGCCUUUCUAACAGCUAGUUACUGUUAUGAUGCAUCGUUGGUCCGGCGUACGACGGCGCCUGGUGCGAUUUAUGCGUCCGGAAGCCCUUUCAGCCUCACAGGCAUGUCCCCACCUGCCUCACAGCCGCCGACGCAUCUCACGGCGGGGGUCUAAUUGCGUGCGCGUAUGGAUGCUCCUAUUCCUGCCGCCUUUCUAGCAACUAGUUAUGUUAUGAUGCAUCGUUGGUCCGGCGUACGACGGCGCCUGGUGCGAUUUAUGCGCCCGGAAGCCCUUUCAGCCUCCAGGCAUGUCCCCACCUGCCUCACAGCCACCGAC
rnacentral:lncRNA from 1 species